CUUCACACUCUUUUCCAGCAGCCAUCCCUCACUUUCGCUCUCAGGAUUCUCUGGGUCUGCCAGGGUUUCCAGUGAGGUGCUCAGGAUCACUCAGUGGAUUGUUGGCUGUCUGGAAGGAGUGCAGAAAGCAUGAAUGAAGAGCAGGAGACAGAAACGCUUGAGAAACCUACAGAUUCCGUGUGCAGCCAAACGAGACUUGAAGGAGAUGCAGAGGAGCAGAGAUGAGACAAGAAAUAGAUUGUGGACUGAAAUGAUGAGAGCAGGCACUGAACACUUCCCUCAAGAGAAACCAAAUGAGAGCGAGCACUCUACAGCUGAAUGUCUGGCCUCGAGCGAAGGUGAAAAUGAGCAGCAAUAAAUCUGACAGACUUUAUCUGAGAAGAGACCUAAACCUGUUGUGCGUGCUUUGGCCUGGUUUUACUUGGGCAGGAAACAACAUGGCCGCUCUUGAUCUUUGGCUUUGCACCUUUGACCCCAAUGAAUCACAAAGCUAAAAAUGGCGUCUCUACAACAAGCAGGGCGUUGAACUGCGUGGAAUAACAGAGUAUGAUAUAUUCAUAAAAUUGUUCUCAGGAUAUGUUUUUUUUUUUCUCCUGUUUUAAUCCAAUAAAGAUGUACUGUAUGGUGUAUGAGGCCAAGUUCUGCUCUGCAUAUUUUUGAUAAAUCAUUCCCACCAAAUCAUCCUUCCGAAUUGUCUCCCCUGGCUGAUCCUAACAUUUCACACACACACACACACACACAUAUUUGGAUUGUGGAGCCCUACAGACCUGCUCAGCCAACUCGACCCGCUCAAAACGGUGUGUGCGAGGAUUCAGCACAUUGUUUAAUAAAGGGAAAAAAGGCUUCAUUGUGACAGCAGGAGCACGGGGCGCUUUCUGAUGAUGCGUUCACUCCCCCGGGCUGACCUCUGCUCUUUAUUAAGCUCUAAUGAGCAGCAGGGCUGAGCGGUCUUAUCUCAGACCUGUCACACAUGCACAAGGCAGGGGUCGGGAAUAACUAAGUGAAAGUAGUAAACUGUUUUUCAGUUGUGCAGGCAGUAGCUCA